rnacentral:lncRNA from 1 species
ACUAAGCUCAGCCAGUCUUAAAAAACUGUGCUGUAUCUACAAAGCUUUAACUACAGUAGUUGAUAAGAAUGCCAACGAGAGCUGAGGGUGUAGAGCAAAGUAGUUCUAAGCUUCAGUUAAACUUCUUUAGGUAAGAACUUAUUUACUUUUUCUUUCUUAAUUUUCCUCCCUUAAAAGAUAAACUAAUAAACUCUUCAAUGGUCUUUUCAGUAUAGUUCUUAUGUAGUUUAACAUAGCUUAUAAAUUGAGUUUAACAAUAAACUCAAGAAGAUAAUUUUAUAAACCCUGUUUUCCAAUCUGUCAUUUACUUAAAUUAUUUUGGUUGUUUUCCCUUUUUUUCCUUCUUUCUCACCCCCUCCCUCUCCAUGAAGAUUCAGGUGCUUAACAUAUCAUUUUUUUCCCUGCUGGAAUUUUAGCAUUGAUAUGAACCAUGGACAAGUAUAUUCUGCUGCCACAAAGACUGUAAAGUGCUUCAUUUCAACAGCUGAGGAAGGUGUCUUGCUGCAGGUAACUAAUGAAGAAGUGGUCAACCACAGAGUCUUCAAGAAAUAAGAAAUUCUGUACCAUCUGAAAGUAGUUCUUGUUGGUGCCUUCAUUUAAGAAGCACUUUUAAGAUAAAAGGGAAUGUUUUCUGAUUAAAAACUUCAUUUAGUACAGGUUCUUAAUAAAAUUACAAAAAUGAGUGUUGAUUGUAAAGGUUAACAUCAGAUUAGCUAAGGAUAAUGUGUUAUGUUUUAAAUUAGGAUUUGUGAGUAGACAGAUAAGCUCUAUUUUA